UACGUAGGCAGCGAGCGUUGUCCGGAUUUAUUGGGCGUAAAGAGCUCGUAGGCGGUUCGGUAAGUCAGGUGUGAAAUCUCCACGCUCAACGUGGAGGCGCCACCUGAAACUGCCGUGACUCGAGUCCGGUAGGGGAGUGUGGAAUUCCCGGUGUAGCGGUGAAAUGCGCAGAUAUCGGGAGGAACACCCGUAGCGAAGGCGGCACUCUGGGCCGGUACUGACGCUGAGGCACGAAGGCCAGGGAGCAAACGGG
rnacentral:rRNA from 1 species